CGGACGGGUGAGUAACACGUAGGCAACCUGCCCUCAAGUUUGGGACAACUACCGGAAACGGUAGCUAAUACCGAAUAGUUGUUUUCUUCGCCUGAAGGAAACUGGAAAGACGGAGCAAUCUGUCACUUGGGGAUGGGCCUGCGGCGCAUUAGCUAGUUGGUGGGGUAACGGCUCACCAAGGCGACGAUGCGUAGCCGACCUGAGAGGGUGAUCGGCCACACUGGGACUGAGACACGGCCCAGACUCCUACGGGAGGCAGCAGUAGGGAAUCUUCCGCAAUGGGCGAAAGCCUGACGGAGCAAUGCCGCGUGAGUGAUGAAGGUUUUCGGAUCGUAAAGCUCUGUUGCCAGGGAAGAACGCUUGGGAGAGUAACUGCUCUCAAGGUGACGGUACCUGAGAAGAAAGCCCCGGCUAACUACGUGCCAGCAGCCGCGGUAAUACGUAGGGGGCAAGCGUUGUCCGGAAUUAUUGGGCGUAAAGCGCGCGCAGGCGGUCAUUUAAGUCUGGUGUUUAAUCCCGGGGCUCAACCCCGGAUCGCACUGGAAACUGGGUGACUUGAGUGCAGAAGAGGAGAGUGGAAUUCCACGUGUAGCGGUGAAAUGCGUAGAUAUGUGGAGGAACACCAGUGGCGAAGGCGACUCUCUGGGCUGUAACUGACGCUGAGGCGCGAAAGCGUGGGGAGCAAACAGGAUUAGAUACC
rnacentral:rRNA from 1 species